GCGCGGGUGGCGAAACUGGCAGACGCACUACCUUGAGGUGGUAGCGCCCGUAAGGGCUUGCAGGUUCAAAUCCUGUCCCGCGCA
rnacentral:tRNA from 1 species